rnacentral:rRNA from 1 species
UACGUAGGUGGCAAGCGUUGUUCGGAAUUACUGGGCGUAAAGCGCGUGUAGGCGGCUAAGUAAGUCGGGCGUGAAAUCCCACGGCUCAACCGUGGAAGUGCACUCGAAACUGCAUAGCUAGAGUCCUGGAGAGGAAGGUGGAAUGCUUGGUGUAGAGGUGAAAUUCGUAGAUAUCAAGCGGAACACCGGUGGCGAAGGCGGCCUUCUGGACAGUGACUGACGCUGAGACGCGAAAGCGUGGGGAGCAAACAGG